AAUCUUGUCGGAAUAUGCGAGGACCAUCUCGUAAGGCUAAAUACUACCAAUUGACCGAUAGUGAACCAGUACCGUGAGGGAAAGGUGAAAAGAACCGUGGGAACGGAGUGAAAAGAUCCUGAAACCUUGUGCUUACAACAAGUUAGAGCCCGUUAAUGGGUGAUAGCGUGCCUUUUGUAGAAUGAACCGGCGAGUUAUGGUAACAUGCGAGGUUAAGCUUUGAGGAGCGGAGCCGAAGCGAAAGCGAGUCUUAACCGGCGUCGUAGUAUGUUGCCAUAGACCCGAAACUGGGUGAGCUAGCCAUGAGCAGGUUGAAGUUGGGGUAAGACCCAAUGGAGGACCGAACCAGGACACGUUGAAAAGUGUUUGGAUGACUUGUGGCUAGAGGUGAAAUUCCAAUCGAACCCAGAAAUAGCUGGUUCUCACCGAAAUAGCUUUAGGGCUAGCGUCGUGGUUAAGUGGUAUGCAGGUAGAGCACUGAAUGGUUGAUGGUCCCAUCCCGGGAUACUGAUAUCAAUCAAACUCCGAAUGGCAUACUUACAUACAUAGCAGUCAGACUACGGGUGAUAAGGUCCGUGGUCGAGAGGGAAACAGCCCAGACCGCCAAUUAAGGUCCCUAAAUCCAUGUUAAGUGGAAAAGGAUGUGGAGUUGUUUAGACAACUAGGAGGUUGGCUCAGAAGCAGCCAUCCUUUAAAGAGUGCGUAAUAGCUCACUAGUCGAAUGAUUCUGCGCCGAAGAUGUACCGGGGCUAAACAUAAUACCGAAACUGCGGAUAGAUCUAGUAUCUAUGGUAGCUGAGCGUUCUUAUUGCGGAGAAGUCUGAUCGUGAGGACAGGUGGAGCGAUAAGAAGUGAGAAUGCCGGUGUGAGUAAUGAAAAGUAGGGUGAGAAUCCCUACCGUCAAAAGUCUAAGGUUUCCAGAGGAAGGUUCGUCCGCUCUGGGUUAGUCUGGGCCUAAGGUGAGGCUGAAAAGCGUAGCCGAUGGAUAAAAGGUUGAUAUUCCUUUACCACUUUAUGAACUGAUGGAGUGACGGAGAAAGAUAGCGAAUGCCACUUAGUGGAUUGUGGUUUAAGCGUUUAGGCUAUGUUAUAGGUAAAUCCGUAACAUAUUAAGGCUGAGGCGUUAUGACGUAAGAUUUGUGAAUCUAUGCUUCCAAGAAAAGCUUCUAGGGUUAAUUUAUAGAGUGCCAGUACCGCAAACCGACACAGGUAGACGAGGAGAGAAUCUAAAGACGCGCGAGAUAACUCUUGUUAAGGAACUCGGCAAAAUGACCCCGUAACUUCGGGAUAAGGGGAGCUCUACAAUGUAGAGCCGCAGAGAAUAGGCCCAAGCGACUGUUUAUCAAAAACACAGCUCUAUGCUAAAUCGUAAGAUGAUGUAUAUGGGGUGACGCCUGCCCAGUGCUGGAAGGUUAAGAGGAGUACUUAGCUUCGGCGAAGGUGCGAAUUGAAGCCCCAGUGAACGGCGGCCGUAACUAUAACGGUCCUAAGGUAGCGAAAUUCCUUGUCGGGUAAGUUCCGACCCGCACGAAAGGCGUAACGAUUUGGGCACUGUCUCAACAAGAGACUCGAUGAAAUCUUAGUACCGGUGAAGAUGCCGGUUACCCGCGACAGGACGGAAAGACCCCGUGGAGCUUUACUGUAGCUUGAUAUUGAUUGUUGUUAUGUGAUGUACAGAAUAGGUGGGAGACUUUGAACCCGGGACGCUAGUUUCGGGGGAGUCAACUUUGGGAUACCACCCUUCGUAUAUUGAUGAUCUAACCCGCCGGCGUGUAGCCGGGGGGACAGUGUCUGGCAGACAGUUUGACUGGGGCGGUCGCCUCCUAAAGAGUAACGGAGGCGCACAAAGGUUUCCUCAGAAUGGUUGGAAAUCAUUCGAAGAGCGUAAAGGUAUAAGUAAGCUUGACUGUGAGACGUACAUGUCGAACAGGUACGAAAGUAGGUCUUAGUGAACUGCCAUUUCUGAAUGGAAAGGAUGGCAAUCAACGGAUAAAAGUUACCCCGGGGAUAACAGGCUGAUUCCUCCCAAGAGUUCACAUCGACGGGGGAGUUUGGCACCUCGAUGUCGGCUCAUCACAUCCUGGAGCAGGAGCAUGUUCCAAGGGUUGGGCUGUUCGCCCAUUAAAGUGGUACGCGAGCUGGGUUCAGAACGUCGUGAGACAGUUCGGUCCCUAUCCGUCGUGGGCGU
rnacentral:rRNA from 1 species